UGGGUGUGCAAGUGCAGCAAUGCAUUGAGCUAACCAGUACUAAUUGCCCGUGAGGCUUGACCC
rnacentral:rRNA from 1 species